UGCAAUCAUGCUGCUUAAGGCC
rnacentral:siRNA from 1 species